CUACUUCUGGGUCAUGUUAGGGCAUGUCCAAGAUCCCUUUUGCAUCCACUCUAGCGCGGUGAACCUGGGGGUAAUAUUAAGCUCUUAAACAAGUCGUCAGGAUUCUAAGUACCACCAUCUUAAGCACGUGUAUUUUAGCAGGGCAGACCCAUCCCCCAUGCUGCGAUAGAUGACUGCAUCGCUGGCCAGGAAGUCCGCCACCGUGGCUGAGUAAAGCUUCCCGUCUGGAACAGGGCAAGCUCCUUGUUUUGGCAUGGUCUUUAAUGAAGGAUGAUGUCAUCGCUUCGGAAAUCCCUCUGCCAUUGCAGCUACCAUGUGAUCUGACCAUGUGAUGUGAAUGAUGCAAAGCUACCUGCAUUUACGAUGACCAUGUGAGAGCAACUCUCUGCUGGGCCAAGGAGGGAGCAGCAUGUUCCUGGGACAUGGAGACCCACAGCCCUGCUAAAUGUCCACAUGUGGACUACUGCUUGAAUGAUGGAGAAGUGACUAAAGGAUAAUGGGAGUCUCAGACCACUUGGCAGGAACCCGCGUACCUUGACCUGCUGUCAGGUCCUGGCUCUCCACAGCAGGCGGACUCGUUCACCCAACGCAGGCUGAUAAAUGCCACUGCAAUAUGGGGACCAAGGUGCUGCCACCCAUCCCCCCUGGAGCCAGGCCUGGUUCAUCUGACAGGGCCAUCCAUCAACUGCUCUCAAGGUCUGAGCACCGAGAACAUCCGGGGAUGACCACUAAAUUGGUGUCAAGAGACCUCUGGCCUAUAAGAAGUGGCCAAACUCAUGGCAAUCAUGGAGGCCCUUGAGAUAAAUCAGAUCACAUCCUUGUGUUUAUGUGUCCAGUAAUGUCUACAAUUCUAAAGGUGCUUUUUUGUUCAGCAAGUCCCUUCACAGUGUUGUGUUGCAGCACAGACAUAAUUCUGUUUUUAAACACAGGCCGCUUCCCUAACUGUUUUUGGGAUCUGUGGAAAUUGCAGACUUCUCUAUCUUUCAAGUCUGAGAGACAAUUGGUAAAAAUGCUACUUGAAACUGGACUGGCAAGAGCAGACUUCAUUAAACUUGAAGUCUGGCAGCUUUGGGAGAUUUUCUCAAAUGCCUCAUAGAUAAAGGCGGCAUUGGACUGAGAGGCUUCUGAAAGCUCUGACCCAUUGUGUGCUGUUUGAAUUGUGCUAGGUAAUAAAUAGAGUGUAAUUUAUUAAUGACUCAAUGUAUUUUAGUUGUUAAUAAACGUGAUAAAUAGGCAAAUAACAGGCAGCUUAAUAUGCACACUUUCACACACACGCACGCACGCACGCACACACAGACACACACAUGCACACAGCAAAAGAAAUGCAACAGUUACUGAUUCAGGUGUCGAAGAUGAUAAAUUCAGACGACAAAGCACAGAACUGAGCAACAGGAGUAAUGCAGAAACAGCUGAACUAAUUUUCUAGACUUUAAUUCUUACAUCGCAAUUCAAAAAUAUCUCUGGGAAUCCAAGCAGACUUUAAAGAAGUUUAAAGUUUUCCCACAGACACAGGGUAGAAAAAGAGAGACAGAGAGAGAGAGAGAGGGAGAGAGAUCCAUUAAGUGUAAGGAACUCAAUUCGUCAAGGUUGUGAGGCUUCUCACUUGCCAUUACACAGUUGCAGGGGAGUGAGCAUGAUUAAGGUGGCAGGAUAAAUCUUUUAUUUUGUUUACGUCUGGAAAAAUGUACAUCGCAGGAAAUGAAAAAUCUGUCAGUCCUCCUUCAAAUUUGGAAUAUCAGACAGUGCAUAUUUUUUCCUUUGUAAUUUUGGAAUUAAAUGUCAACACUCCCCAGGACACAGUAACUAUGCUGUAUAAUUGGUCAAGUCAGUUGUAAGUGUGAAGUGGGUGACAGACAGGUAUGGUGUGGAGGACAUGCUGCUAUCGAUACUGUGUAUGUCGCCUUCCCGCUCUGUAUGGAGAGCUCAUUUUAUCUUCAGUGCACACAGCAAUGUAAUUGCUCAUGCAGCAGUAACUCAGCAGUGAUAGGAUGACCAUGGCUUUGAAGUGAUAAGGCUCAAUCCUGAGAAAUGCCGAGCCAAUGAUGGGGGUCACCAGGCUGUGGGCAUCUGAAAAUCCCCAGCUGGCUCUGGGCCGUCUUUAUUGCGUUUAAUCAAUUAUGCAAUAUCAUUGAGACCUUCUCCACUCACUCAACAAAUAACAAAGAGUAUUUCAGGCACCAACCUCCAGGCUACAGAUAGCUUCAUCAGAAAAACUUGUGAUUGCCAAUAAUGGUUGCGUGAGGACAGGUUGUGAAUCUGAAGCUAUCUCCCGCCUCCCCUCCCCAAACAAAUAAAGAAUAAAAGUCAAUAGCUCAAUAACCAGACCAUAAUAAUGAAUAGUAUUUACUACGACAAUUGUAACAUUCAGAUCUGUAAAAUUGUUGAAGUCUGAUUGGAGCUGCAGAAUUUGUAAUUCCUUCCUGUUCCUGUUCCUGUUCUUUAAUUUGAAAAAGAAUAUACAAUAUAUUAUCUUAAAACUUAAGUCUUUUGAUGCACCACUCAUGUACACAGGUUUUUAUUUGAUGUGAAUGUUUGACAAGUAUGUUCGUAGAUUUUCAAUUGAGAUUUCAGUUCGUGAAGUUCAAUGACGUUCCAUAAGCUGCUUUUAGAUUCAAUAGGGAUUAGGGCUUUUGAGAACGAUCAGAUCAGUUUGGAUCCAUUUGGUCCCACAAGACAGUAAUUAAGUUUGUGAGAAGAGUAACGCUUGAAGGCGUGGUGAGAGUUGAUGCUCGGCUCUUGACAGAAAUGAAAGUCUUCCUCUCAGCUAUGAAAUGUAUUGAAACCUACCCUUUUCUGACUUUACCUCCCUUGCGAACGGUUCCUGUAUGCUAGAUUCCGAAUUUGUGCUGGCAGGUCUAAAUAAGUGCCAAAAUUAAAAUGAAUUAUUGAUUAAAGUUAAAAAAUGAAGAGACAACCAAAUUAAUCAUCCCCCGCUGUGUACAAAUAGUGUUAUCUAAUAAUUAACCACGGGCUGUGGUUUGCUUACGCAUAAUUAUAACUGGAGAGCUUCACUCAUACGCUGGACUCUUUUACUUGGUAAGGUAUUCCUGUAGCGCCUUCUCUGUGAGAUUGAGGGAGGAGGAAAGAAGGUGGAGAUGAGGGAAAACAACUUAUGUAUUUGAUUAAUUAGGGCUUGAAAAAUAUUUAUGGAAAGGAUUAGUCCAUCACUUUCAGAGAAUGCUUUGAGCAAAACCUGUUUUGUUGAGCAUCAAUUAAUAGUGCCUGAUCUGUUUUAUCUCAGCAGACAAGAAUUUGUCUCUGGAGUCAACCUGCAUGGUGCAGCUUGAUUAUAGGUGUAUAUUUGGAGCACAUCUGAUAUAUUUCUGUCAUAUCAGCACUGAUGCUUUCAAUUUAUUUUUGUUAAUGUUUCAUCAAAAAAAUUACAUUUUCUACUCCGUCAAUAGAUAUACUUUGAUGUAACUUGAUGUAAUUACGUGCCACAGUGCAAUCAGCACUUUAACAGUGCCAGUAUGUGGUCAGGUGUAUUAUGAACAGCUUCAGGUUGUAUUUGCUAAGUCAAUUGGUUUUUCCCUAUGACACUGUAUGGCACUAGUAAAGAAAUUAGACUCUUUAUAAACUAGUUCUCUUUAUUUUCACAUAGCGACAUUCUUAUUGCCAUUUCAAGUACAACCACAUUUUUUGAAAUCAAGAAUGACUAGUGGGGCUUCUGAGUGGCUCUUAAGGCAUUCUUAACUGAAGGCUGAACCGCAUAGUCCCGUGAUUCAGCCUUACCUAAGCCAUUACCAAACAAUAUGUUGGAGUCCACUGGAGUAGGACACACACAGUGGUCCCCCCAGGGGUGGGUUGGGUUUAAAUCAGCCACGGCUCCUCCCUACUUUAUUGCAGGCAAGUGAAUCACAUUCUAAUAGGAAUAUCGUAAAAUGUAUAAUAACUUGCUGGCAGCAAUUAGCUGCUGUAAUACAUUCAGCAGUAUGUUUAUUAUAACAACAAUUACAGUACUGAAUUUAUUACUGUAAUAACUGAAAUUACAGAACUUAGAUGAAUAGUGUAAUUGCAUUAUGCAAUGUACAAGCUAUCUACUGCGAGCAAGUUACAGUAUUUAUUUUUUACAGUCAUUUUACAGUAUUCCUGUAUAAAAAAAAGCGGUCCACCUGGCUUUGGUGUGUGAGGGGGACUUCUUGGUAAGGUAUGAACCACCCCUGCUUUUGACUGACAGGUCUUUUGACUUUGAAAAAGAAAAUGUAUGGGAAGGUUUACAUUCUUAUUUGAAUUUUGUCAGGGUAGAUGCGUGACAACAUGGAAAUGAAAUUGCAGAUGGAAAAACGACAGUGGAUAUUCAUUUAUGUCAGCCUUGUAUUGUGAGAAGUUGAUUGGCCUUCAAACAUGGAAUAUAAGAUGACCAAAUUAAUUAUAACGUUUUGUCAUAAAGCAUGCGGUUACAAUAAAAAAAAUGUUAUUUCAAACAUACAGAUUUGAUGGUUUUACAUUUCCAUGAUGGCAAAACUAUAGAAAACAAGAUCAGUGCUGAAAAUAACCAAAGUUAACAUACACCUUAGUGGCUGGAAACCCCUGACAGACAAUUUGGGCUAUUACUGUAUUUAGAUUUACAGAAAAAAAAUUAUUCACUUUAAAUUUCACCCACCAUCAAAUUUUGACCAAAAUGCUUUACAGAUCUUUAGCUACAUACUGUACUGUAUACAGUAACAUGGCUGUGAAAACUACAGAAAUCAUUUACAGUGCUGGGGAGUACACUUGUGUCUGUUACUGUGCUCCUGGCAUGUGUGUACACAUGGCACGAUAGUCAUUCCUCAGACACUCUUGGUGAGUCAAAAUUGGGUAUAAACAUAGGAGAAACAUGGUUGGCGAGAAAUGGAUACAGACCAAUUUCACAAUGUUGACACCUCUACAUGUCUUAUUUUUUCUUUGUUGUUUUCAUUUAUAUUGAAUGAUUUGAGCUCCUUCAAUGACCACAGGCUUUUCAGAUAUUUAUACUAUACUACUAUUUAAUCAGGGGAAUGCUUGUUCAUACUGAAGUACAGAACGAUGGACAAUUGAGAGGUACUCAGAAAAUUUCAAGGAAAUUUGCUCAUUUGAGAGGCAAAUUUUACCACUAUUAUUACUUCAGAAACUUGUGAAAAGUGGCUGUUCUAUCAGGAGAGAUGAAGAGAUUUCUGUAAUGAAUUAACAUAGUAAUUUUAUAAAGCAAUUAACUCAGGAUGGAAAGUGCACCAUCCAUUAAACUAUCCCUGGAAAGACAGACCUCAUUAACUGGUGGCUCUGUAAUUAAUGUGAUUCAGCUCUGACACUCACUCC